UAACCUGCCCAAGAGACUGGGAUAACACCUGGAAACAGAUGCUAAUACCGGAUAACAACACUAGACGCAUGUCUAGAGUUUAAAAGAUGGUCCUGCUAUCACUCUUGGAUGGACCUGCGGUGCAUUAGCUAGUUGGUAAGGCAACGGCUUACCAAGGCAAUGAUGCAUAGCCGAGUUGAGAGACUGAUCGGCCACAUUGGGACUGAGACACGGCCCAAACUCCUACGGGAGGCAGCAGGC
rnacentral:rRNA from 1 species